UAAUACGGAGGGUGCAAGCGUUAUCCGGAAUCACUGGGUUUAAAGGGUGCGUAGGCGGUUGUAUAAGUCAGUGGUGAAAGGCCGUAGCUUAACUAUGGGAUUGCCAUUGAUACUGUAUGACUUGAAUGAGGUUGAGGUUGGCGGAAUGUGGCAUGUAGCGGUGAAAUGCUUAGAUAUGCCAUGGAACAUCGAUUGCGAAGGCAGCUGACUGGACCUGAAUUGACGCUGAGGCACGAAAGCGUGGGGAGCGAACAGG
rnacentral:rRNA from 1 species